CCUACGGGCGGCAGCAGUGGGGAAUAUUGCACAAUGGGGGAAACCCUGAUGCAGCGACGCCGCGUGAGUGAAGAAGUAAUUCGUUAUGUAAAGCUCUAUCAGCAGGGAAGAAAAUGACGGUACCUGAGUAAGAAGCACCGGCAUACUAAGUGCCAGCAGCCGCGGUAAGACGUAGGGGGCAAGCGUUAUCCGGAUUUACUGGGUGUAAAGGGAGCGUAGACGGCAGUGCAAGUCUGGAGUGAAAGGCGGGGGCUCAACCCCCGGACUGCUCUGGCAACUGUAAGGCUGGAGUGCAGGAGAGGUAAGUGGAAUUCCUAGUGUAGCGGUGAAAUGCGUAGAUAUUAGGAAGAACACCAGUGGCGAAGGCGGCUUACUGGACUGUAACUGACGUUGAGGCUCGAAAGCGUGGGGAGCAAACAGGAUUAGAUACCCGAGUAGC
rnacentral:rRNA from 1 species